GACGAACGCUGGCGGCGUGCCUAAUACAUGCAAGUCGAGCGAAGUUUUUCUGGUGCUUGCACCGGAAAAACUUAGCGGCGAACGGGUGAGUAACACGUAAAGAACCUGCCUCAUAGACUGGGACAACUAUUGGAAACGAUAGCUAAUACUGGAUAACAGCAUUAACUGCAUGGUUGAUGUUUAAAAGUUGGUUUUGCUAACACUAUGAGAUGGCUUUGCGGUGCAUUAGCUAGUUGGUGGGGUAAAGGCCUACCAAGGCGACGAUGCAUAGCCGACCUGAGAGGGUGAUCGGCCACACUGGGACUGAGACACGGCCCAGACUCCUACGGGAGGCAGCAGUAGGGAAUCUUCCGCAAUGGGCGAAAGCCUGACGGAGCAACGCCGCGUGAGUGAAGAAGGAUUUCGGUUCGUAAAGCUCUGUUGUUAGGGAAGAAUGAUUGUGUAGUAACUAUACACA
rnacentral:rRNA from 1 species